CUUGUUUCCGUGCUUGAGGAGCUCCGGUGAUCUCCGAGCUUCCGGGUUCUCAGGCUGGCUUCGUCCUGCACAUGGAAAGAAAAAGCUAAAAGAGAUUCCUUUCCUUCCCCUGGUGCUUCACAAGCAACUCGGGCCUCCUGCACGUUAGGGAAGCUCCUGCUGAGCUACACACCCAGUCCUUUAAACAAUCCUUACCGUCUUUUCAGUGCAACAGCGCAAUAGGGUUACAACCCUAACCCUAACCCUAACCCUAACCCUCACCCUCACCCUUACCCUCUUCUUUCUCCUACUUCAUAUAUCUGGAGUUGUUUAUGUUGUUGUUUUGUUUUUAGUUUGUUUCUGUACUUUUAAAGUUGAAAAUGUUUAAACCUGAGAAGUAAAAUGAAUUAUCACAAACUUUUCAACUUGCUAAAAGUUACUAUAUUGCCACUUUUGUUGACUGCUGCCAUCCAUGUGUAGUUUUAUCCUUAUUACUUGUGCCAGCCCUUUUAACAGGAAGCUGCAGAAAUCGCGGCUGAAUCCCUGAGCUUGUUUUCUCUUAGGACAAAGUCGUUUUCUUUAUGAGCAGAACAGACAGUGAAAGGGACAGGUAAGAAAGGGGUCAGUUUUCCGCG
rnacentral:lncRNA from 1 species